ACAAUGGAGAGUUUGAUCCUGGCUCUGGAUGAACGCUAGCGGCAGGCUUAACACAUGCAAGUCGAGGGGCAGCGUGAUGAAGUAGCAAUACGGAUUUGACGGCGACCGGCGCACGGGUGCGUAACGCGUAUGUAACCUACCCUUAACAGGGGGAUAACACUGAGAAAUUGGUACUAAUACCCCAUAACAGUUCGGAGGGCAUCCUCUGGAUUUGAAAGUUCCGGCGGUUAAGGAUGGACAUGCGUUGUAUUAGCUAGAUGGUGAGGUAACGGCUCACCAUGGCGACGAUACAUAGGGGGACUGAGAGGUUAACCCCCCACACUGGUACUGAGACACGGACCAGACUCCUA
rnacentral:rRNA from 1 species